UACAGAGGGUGCAAGCGUUAAUCGGAAUUACUGGGCGUAAAGCGCGCGUAGGUGGAAAGAUAAGUUGGAUGUGAAAUCCCCGGGCUUAACCUGGGAAGGUCAUCCGAAACUGUUUUUCUAGAGUACAGUAGAGGGAAGUGGAAUUUCCGGUGUAGCGGUGAAAUGCGUAGAUAUCGGAAGGAACACCAGUGGCGAAGGCGGCUUCCUGGACUGAUACUGACACUGAGGCGCGAGAGCGUGGGGAGCGAACAGG
rnacentral:rRNA from 1 species